rnacentral:rRNA from 1 species
AUGAACGCUAGCGACAGGCCUAACACAUGCAAGUCGAGGGGCAUCGGGGUGUAGCAAUACGCUGCCGGCGACCGGCGGAUGGGUGAGUAACGCGUAUGCAACCUGCCUUCAGCAGGGGGAUAGCCCGUUGAAAGACGGAUUAAUACCCCAUAACACAGGGGCUCCGCAUGGAGAUUAUUGUUAAAGGGAUACUUCCUUCGGGGGUAUUCCGGCUGAAGAUGGGCAUGCGUUCCAUUAGGUAGUUGGUUGAGGUAACGGCUCACCAAGCCUGCGAUGGAUAGGGGAACUGAGAGGUUGGUCCCCCACACUGGUACUGAGACACGGACCAGACUCCUGCGGGAGGCAGCAGUGAGGAAUCUUGGUCAAUGGACGGAAGUCUGAACCAGCCAUGUCGCGUGAAGGAGGACGGCCCUAAGGGUCGUAAACUUCUUUUGCAGGGGAAUAAAGUAUUCCACGAGAUGGGAUAUUGCAAGUACGCUGCGAAUAAGGAUCGGCUAACUCCGUG